AUAAAAUACGGGACGUAUUAUGUGAAACCCCUUGGCGGGCGGGCGGGCGGCGGGCGGAAGGCAUCACUUUGUCCGGACUCUAAUUCAAAUUGUAUUCAUCAGAUCUUCACCAAACUUGGUCAGCAGUUGCAUCUAGUUGAUAUCUAGGCCAAGUUCGAAUAUGGGUCAUGCCGGGUCAAAAACUAGGUCAUAGGGUCAAUUAGUGCAUUUUCAACGGCGCCACUUUGUCCGGACUCUAAUUCAAAUUGUAUUCAUCCGAUCUUCACCAAACUUGGUCAGUAGUUGCAUCUAGUUGAUAUCUAGGCCAAGUUCGAAUAUGGGUCAUGCCAGGUAAAAAACUAGGUCAUAGGGUCAAUUAGUCCAUUUUCAACAGCGCCACUUUGUCCGGACUCUUAUUCAAAUUGUAUUCAUCCGAUCUUUACCAAACUUGGUCAGUAGUUGCAUCUAGUUGAUAUCUAGGUCAAGUUCGAAUAUGGGUCAUGUCGGGUCAAGAACUAGGUCAUAGGGUCAAUUAGUGCAUUUUCAACGGCGCCACUUUGUCCGGACUCUAAUUCAAAUUGUAUUCAUCCGAAACUUUUAAACAACUUUUUAUCCUGCGUCAAAGUGGUAUGGGGGUCUAAACAAUUAUGAUUUAAAUAUUGUGUUUUAGAGAACAAAUGAGACUAAGUGUACACUUAUUGAUAUCAAUGCAUAUAUAUGAAUAUAUCAGUUAUAUAA